CUGUCUUGAAGAAUAGGCAAUUAUAGAGAAUUCCCUGGUGGUCCAGUGAUUAGGACUCGGCAUUUUCAAUGCCAGGGCUCAGGUUCAAUCCUUGGUCAAGGAAUUAAGAUUCUAAAAGCCAUGUGGCGCAGC